GACGAACGCUGGCGGCGUGCUUAACACAUGCAAGUCGAACGGAAAGGCCCUGCCUUUGUGGGGUGCUCGAGUGGCGAACGGGUGAGUAACACGUGAGUAACCUGCCCUUGACUUUGGGAUAACUUCAGGAAACUGGGGCUAAUACCGGAUAGGAGCUCCUGCUGCAUGGUGGGGGUUGGAAAGUUUCGGCGGUUGGGGAUGGACUCGCGGCUUAUCAGCUUGUUGGUGGGGUAGUGGCUUACCAAGGCUUUGACGGGUAGCCGGCCUGAGAGGGUGACCGGCCACAUUGGGACUGAGACACGGCCCAGACUCCUACGGGAGGCAGCAGUGGGGAAUAUUGCACAAUGGGCGGAAGCCUGAUGCAGCAACGCCGCGUGCGGGAUGACGGCCUUCGGGUUGUAAACCGCUUUCGCCUGGGACGAAGCGUGAGUGACGGUAAUGGGUAAAGAAGCACCGGCUAACUACGUG
rnacentral:rRNA from 1 species